rnacentral:rRNA from 1 species
UUCUGUGAGCAGGAAAGCAGGGGAUCGCAAGACCUUGCGCUGAUUGAGCGGCCGAUAUCAGAUUAGCUAGUUGGUGAGGUAAAGGCUCACCAAGGCGACGAUCUGUAGCGGGUCUGAGAGGAUGAUCCGCCACACUGGAACUGAGACACGGUCCAGACUCCUACGGGAGGCAGCAGUGGGGAAUUUUGGACAAUGGGGGCAACCCUGAUCCAGCCAUGCCGCGUGAGUGAAGAAGGCCUUCGGGUUGUAAAGCUCUUUCGGCCGGGAAGAAAUCGUAUGGGUUAAUACCCUGUGCGGAUGACGGUACCGGCAUAAGAAGCACCGGCUAACUACGUGCCAGCAGCCCGCGGUAAUACGUAGGGUGCGAGCGUUAAUCGGAAUUACUGGGCGUAAAGCGUGCGCAGGCGGUUUUGUAAGACAGGCGUGAAAUCCCCGGGCUCAACCUGGGAACUGCGCUUGUGACUGCAAGGCUAGAGUAUGGCAGAAGGGGGUGGAAUUCC